AUGAACGCUAGCUACAGGCUUAACACAUGCAAGUCGAGGGGCAGCAUGGUCUUAGCUUGCUAAGGCCGAUGGCGACCGGCGCACGGGUGAGUAACACGUAUCCAACCUGCCGUCUACUCUUGGACAGCCUUCUGAAAGGAAGAUUAAUACAAGAUGGCAUCAUGAGUCCGCAUGUUCACAUGAUUAAAGGUAUUCCGGUAGACGAUGGGGAUGCGUUCCAUUAGAUAGUAGGCGGGGUAACGGCCCACCUAGUCUUCGAUGGAUAGGGGUUCUGAGAGGAAGGUCCCCCACAUUGGAACUGAGACACGGUCCAAACUCCUACGGGAGGCAGCAGUGAGGAAUAUUGGUCAAUGGGCGAGAGCCUGAACCAGCCAAGUAGCGUGAAGGAUGACUGCCCUAUGGGUUGUAAACUUCUUUUAUAAAGGAAUAAAGUCGGGUAUGGAUACCCGUUUGCAUGUACUUUAUGAAUAAGGAUCGGCUAACUCCGUGCCAGCAGCCGCGGUAAUACGGAGGAUCCGAGCGUUAUCCGGAUUUAUUGGGUUUAAAGGGAGCGUAGAUGGAUGUUUAAGUCGGUUGUGAAAGUUUGCGGCUCAACCGUAAAAUUGCAGUUGAUACUGGAUAUCUUGAGUGCAGUUGAGGCAGGCGGAAUUCGUGGUGUAGCGGUGAAAUGCUUAGAUAUCACGAAGAACUCCGAUUGCGAAGGCAGCCUGCUAAGCUGCAACUGACAUUGAGGCUCGAAAGUGUGGGUAUCAAACAGGAUUAGAUACCCUGGUAGUCCACACGGUAAACGAUGAAUACUCGCUGUUUGCGAUAUACAGCAAGCGGCCAAGCGAAAGCGUUAAGUAUUCCACCUGGGGAGUACGCCGGCAACGGUGAAACUCAAAGGAAUUGACGGGGGCCCGCACAAGCGGAGGAACAUGUGGUUUAAUUCGAUGAUACGCGAGGAACCUUACCCGGGCUUAAAUUGCAGAUGAAUUACGGUGAAAGCCGUAAGCCGCAAGGCAUCUGUGAAGGUGCUGCAUGGUUGUCGUCAGCUCGUGCCGUGAGGUGUCGGCUUAAGUGCCAUAACGAGCGCAACCCUUGUUGUCAGUUACUAACAGGUUCCGCUGAGGACUCUGACAAGACUGCCAUCGUAAGAUGUGAGGAAGGUGGGGAUGACGUCAAAUCAGCACGGCCCUUACGUCCGGGGCUACACACGUGUUACAAUGGGGGGUACAGAGGGCCGCUACCACGCGAGUGGAUGCCAAUCCCCAAAACCUCUCUCAGUUCGGACUGGAGUCUGCAACCCGACUCCACGAAGCUGGAUUCGCUAGUAAUCGCGCAUCAGCCACGGCGCGGUGAAUACGUUCCCGGGCCUUGUACACACCGCCCGUCAAGCCAUGGGAGCCGGGGGUACCUGAAGUGCGUAACCGCGAGGAGCGCCCUAGGGUAAAACUGGUGACUGGGGCU
rnacentral:rRNA from 1 species